AGCUCAAAACAAACACAGCGGCUGAGCAGCCAGCCUUCCUAGCCCUGCAUAGCUGACAGUGGAAAAACCUAACAAGAGGGACAGAAUGGGCUUUUGAUGCCUGGGAGGACAGGCCCCGGUGCAAGCCACCCUGCAUCCCGGCCCUGACUGCAGGAACCUGAGUUUUGCAGCUAAGGAUUCGGAGGGGCUAGAAACACGGCAGCCUUGUGUGUUUGCCUCAGAUGUGCGAAUUAGCCAGUAGUGAUGGAGGCAUGGACUCUGGUUCAUCAACAGAAGGCAUGUUCUACAGAGGACCCUGGGAUCACUCAGGAGAAGAGAGAGAGAGAGAACUCCCACAGGUAGUUGAUUGCUCAGAUUGUUUCUCACCUCUGAUUCCAGACCAGGGGAAGAUAAAUUCAGAAGAGAGGCUC